AUUAAAAAAACUACUUCAAAUUAAUUUAUCUCAUUAAAUUUGAGUACUAAAACCUGACUAAAACCAAAUCUCGUAACGUUCUAAACCAAAAUAACUAUAUUGUAUUUAACUAAAUAAAUAUCAAUAUUCAAACAAAUUUCAAAAUCACAUUUUAAAAAAAAACGAGCGUUUUUUUAAACGCCGAACUCGUUACGAAAUAAAGAAAACAUUACUAAAAAUUACGCGUUUCCGAACGCACCCUAGUGACGUCUCUGUGUUUUAAAAAGAAAUUUUAUGCAUUAAAAAAAAUUACUUUGCACUUUAAACUAAAUCACAAGAGUAAAAUUUUGGUUGUAAAUACCAUUCUAAUUUGGAAAAUUACCAUUUAAUAUGAAACACAAGUCGUAAGUUGUGUGGAGUACCAUUAAAAACUCGAAACCGCUAAAUAAAUGUCGAUUUCAGCGACUCAAAACUCGACUCAGAGUUAAUCGAAAACUACCAAAAAUUCAGAUUACAUCAAAACCGUGCUGACUUUGGAUAUAUUACCACUACAAAAACAAAAAACAUCCAGCCAUUUCUACAACUGGACAGCCAGACCACAGGAAUUGCUAAUUUUGAAAAUUAAAUGAUGUCAAUUGUUCUGGAACUGAAUGCGCUAGCACGCCAAAGAAGAAUAUCUUCAAUCUUUCAGAAGUUUAAAUCACUAUGAAACACCACAAGAAGCUUGCCGGACACUACUGCCAGACCAUACUUCUAUAAUAAACUGGUUCCCCUGCGGCUAUGCGGAGAGCUCUGAAAAACAAAAUGCCGACACCGCUUCCACAGCUGCUUGGACCUAGGAUAAGCUCCUGAUUGGCAUUGACCUUCCUAAAUAAAUUAUUAUCAAUAAGCUGUGAAAUUGAGUGUUGCGUUUCAACUUUAAUAUACUAAAUAUGCUACUGCAUUGAAAUUUCUGGUGCUUCAUGUUUACAACAAAUGUGCUGUGUAAUAAAAUGAAAUUAAAUUAUGUUAAU